rnacentral:rRNA from 1 species
AUUGAACGCUGGCGGCAGGCUUAACACAUGCAAGUCGAGCGGAGCGAGGGUGCUUGCACCUUAGCUUAGCGGCGGACGGGUGAGUAAUGCUUAGGAAUCUGCCUAUUAGUGGGGGACAACAUUCCGAAAGGAAUGCUAAUACCGCAUACGCCCUACGGGGGAAAGCAGGGGAUCUUCGGACCUUGCGCUAAUAGAUGAGCCUAGGUCGGAUUAGCUAGUUGGUGGGGUAAAGGCCUACCAAGGCGACGAUCUGUAGCGGGUCUGAGAGGAUGAUCCGCCACACUGGGACUGAGACACGGCCCAGACUCCUACGGGAGGCAGCAGUGGGGAAUAUUGGACAAUGGGCGGAAGCCUGAUCCAGCCAUGCCGCGUGUGUGAAGAAGGCCUUUUGGUUGUAAAGCACUUUAAGCGAGGAGGAGGCUCUUAAGGUUAAUACCCUUGAUGAGUGGACGUUACUCGCAGAAUAAGCACCGGCUAACUCUGUGCCAGCAGCCGCCGCAGUAAAAC